rnacentral:rRNA from 1 species
GACGAACGCUGGCGGCGUGCCUAAUACAUGCAAGUCGAACGCAUUUUCUUUCACCGUAGCUUGCUACACCGAAAGAAAAUGAGUGGCGAACGGGUGAGUAACACGUGGGUAACCUGCCCAUCAGCGGGGGAUAACACUUGGAAACAGGUGCUAAUACCGCAUAAUUCCAUUUACCGCAUGGUAGAUGGAUGAAAGGCGCUUUUGCGUCACUGAUGGAUGGACCCGCGGUGCAUUAGCUAGUUGGUGGGGUAACGGCCUACCAAGGCUGCGAUGCAUAGCCGACCUGCGAGGGUGAUCGGCCACACUGGGACUGAGACACGGCCCAGACUCCUACGGGAGGCAGCAGUAGGGAAUCUUCGGCAAUGGACACAAGUCUGACCGAGCAACGCCGCGUGAGUGAAGAAGGUUUUCGGAUCGUAAAACUCUGUUGUUAGAGAAGAACAAGGAUGAGAGUGGAAAGUUCAUCCCUUGACGGUAUCCAACCAGAAAGCCACGGCUAACUACGUG